rnacentral:rRNA from 1 species
GACGAAGGGGGCUAGCGUUGUUCGGAAUUACUGGGCGUAAAGCGCGUGUAGGCGGUUAUCCAAGUCGGGUGUGAAAGCCUUGAGCUCAACUCCAGAACUGCCUUUGAUACUGGCAAUCUCGAGUCCGGGAGAGGUGAGUGGAACUGCGAGUGUAGAGGUGAAAUUCGUAGAUAUUCGCAAGAACACCAGUGGCGAAGGCGGCUCACUGGCCCGGUACUGACGCUGAGGUGCGAAAGCGUGGGGAGCAAACAGG